rnacentral:rRNA from 1 species
GUAGGUGGCAAGCGUUGUCCGGAAUUAUUGGGCGUAAAGCGCGCGCAGGUGGUUCUUUAAGUCUGAUGUGAAAGCCCCCGGCUCAACCGGGGAGGGUCAUUGGAAACUGGGGAACUUGAGUGCAGGAGAGGAAAGUGGAAUUCCACGUGUAGCGGUGAAAUGCGUAGAUAUGUGGAGGAACACCAGUGGCGAAGGCGACUUUCUGGCCUGUAACUGACACUGAGGCGCGAAAGCGUGGGGAGCAAACAGGGAUUAGAUACCCUGGUAGUCCACGCCGUAAACGAUGAGUGCUAAGUGUUGGGGGGUUUCCCGCCCCGUCAGUGCUGCAGCUAACGCAUUAAGCACUCCGCCUGGGGAGUACGGUCGCAAGACUG